rnacentral:rRNA from 1 species
UACGUAGGGUGCAAGCGUUAUCCGGAAUUAUUGGGCGUAAAGAGCUCGUAGGCGGUUUGUCGCGUCUGCUGUGAAAACUGGAGGCUCAACCUCCAGCCUGCAGUGGGUACGGGCAAACUAGAGUGCGGUAGGGGAGAUUGGAAUUCCUGGUGUAGCGGUGGAAUGCGCAGAUAUCAGGAGGAACACCGAUGGCGAAGGCAGAUCUCUGGGCCGUUACUGACGCUGAGGAGCGAAAGCGUGGGGAGCGAACAGG